rnacentral:rRNA from 2 species
GACGAACGCUGGCGGCGUGCCUAAUACAUGCAAGUCGAGCGAACUCUGGUUUUUGAUUUUUGGUGCUUGCACCAAAAUGAUAAAACAUUUGAGUGAGCGGCGGAUGGGUGAGUAACACGUGGGUAACCUGCCCUAAAGUGGGGGAUAACAUUUGGAAACAAGUGCUAAUACCGCAUAACAACAUUUACCACAUGGUUUAUGUUUAAAAGAUGGUUUUGCUAUCACUUUAGGAUGGACCCGCGGCGUAUUAGUUAGUUGGUGAGGUAAUGGCUCACCAAGACCGUGAUACGUAGCCGACCUGAGAGGGUAAUCGGCCACAUUGGGACUGAGACACGGCCCAAACUCCUACGGGAGGCAGCAGUAGGGAAUCUUCCACAAUGGACGAAAGUCUGAUGGAGCAACGCCGCGUGAGUGAAGAAGGUUUUCGGAUCGUAAAACUCUGUUGUUGAAGAAGAACAUGCGUGAGAGUAACUGUUCACGUAUUGACGGUAUUCAACCAGAAAGCCACGGCUAACUACGUGCCAGCAGCCGCGGUAAUACGUAGGUGGCAAGCGUUGUCCGGAUUUAUUGGGCGUAAAGCGAGCGUAGGCGGUUUAUUAAGUCUGAUGUGAAAGCCCUCGGCUCAACCGAGGAAGUGCAUCGGAAACUGGUAAACUUGAGUGCAGAAGAGGAGAGUGGAACUCCAUGUGUAGCGGUGGAAUGCGUAGAUAUAUGGAAGAACACCAGUGGCGAAGGCGGCUCUCUGGUCUGUAACUGACGCUGAGGUUCGAAAGCGUGGGUAGCAAACAGGAUUAGAUACCCUGGUAGUCCACGCCGUAAACGAUGAGUGCUAAGUGUUGGAGGGUUUCCGCCCUUCAGUGCUGCAGCUAACGCAUUAAGCACUCCGCCUGGGGAGUACGACCGCAAGGUUGAGACUCAAAGGAAUUGACGGGGGCCCGCACAAGCGGUGGAGCAUGUGGUUUAAUUCGAAGCAACGCGAAGAACCUUACCAGGUCUUGACAUACCAUGAAAAGCUAAGAGAUUAGUCUUUCCCUUCGGGGACAUGGAUACAGGUGGUGCAUGGUUGUCGUCAGCUCGUGUCGUGAGAUGUUGGGUUAAGUCCCGCAACGAGCGCAACCCUUAUUACUAGUUGCCAGCAUUUAGUUGGGCACUCUAGUGAGACUGCCGGUGACAAACCGGAGGAAGGUGGGGACGACGUCAAAUCAUCAUGCCCCUUAUGACCUGGGCUACACACGUGCUACAAUGGUCGGUACAACGUGCUGCGAACUCGCGAGGGUAAGCAAAUCACUUAAAACCGAUCUCAGUUCGGAUUGUAGGCUGCAACUCGCCUACAUGAAGCUGGAAUCGCUAGUAAUCGCGGAUCAGCAUGCCGCGGUGAAUACGUUCCCGGGCCUUGUACACACCGCCCGUCACACCAUGAGAGUUUGUAACACCCAAAGCCGGUGGGGUAACCUUUUAUUAGGAGCUAACCGUCUAAGGUGGGACAAAUGAUUAGGGUGAAGUCG